GGAGACGUGCCAGAGCGGCCGAAUGGGCUUCACUGCUAAUGAAGUGUGGGGCACAACUCCACCGGGGUUCAAAUCCCCCGUCUCCG
rnacentral:tRNA from 1 species